GCGACCCCAGGACGGGCGAGGCCACCCGCCGAGUUUAAGCAUAUCAAUAAGC
rnacentral:rRNA from 1 species